rnacentral:rRNA from 1 species
UACGUAGGGUGCAAGCGUUAAUCGGAAUUACUGGGCGUAAAGCGUGCGCAGGCGGUUAUGUAAGACAGUUGUGAAAUCCCCGGGCUCAACCUGGGAAUUGCAUCUGUAACUGCAUAGCUAGAGUACGGUAGAGGGGGAUGGAAUUCCGCGUGUAGCAGUGAAAUGCGUAGAUAUGCGGAGGAACACCGAUGGCGAAGGCAAUCCCCUGGACCUGUACUGACGCUCAUGCACGAAAGCGUGGGGAGCAAACAGG